rnacentral:rRNA from 1 species
GACGAACGCUGGCGGCGUGCUUAACACAUGCAAGUCGAGCGGAGCGGCGAACGGGUGAGUAACGCGUGAGUAACUGCCCCCCUCUCUGGGAUAACAGUUGGAAACGGCUGCUAAUACCGGAUAGUGGGGGAUGACUCGCGUCCUAUCAGCUUGUUGGUGGGGUAGUGGCCUACCAAGGCGACGACGGGUAGCCGGCCUGAGAGGGCGACCGGCCCAAUUGGGCGGAGAUACGGCCCAAACGCCUCGGGGGGGCAGCAGGGGGAAUUAUGGAGCAAUGGGGGAAACCCUGAUGCAGCAACGCCGCGGGGGGGAUGACGGCCUUCGGGUGGUAAACCGCUUUCAGCAAUGACGCGGUAGUGGCAGAAGAAGCACCGGCUAACUACGUGCCAGCGGCCGGGGUAUUU